GGAGGGUGACUCAGACGGUUACGAGACAAGUUUGCUAAACUUGCAGGGUGAAAGCCCUGAGUGGGUUCGACUCCCACACCCUCCG
rfam:Candidatus Levybacteria bacterium RBG_16_35_6 RBG_16_scaffold_6086, whole genome shotgun sequence.